AGGGGGAUAACAUCCGGAAACGGGUGCUAAUACCGCAUAGUUUCUUGAUCGCAUGAUCGGGAAAGGAAAGACGGCCUUUGUGCUGUCGCUUAUGGAUGGACCGCGGCGUAUUAGUUAGUUGGUGAGGUAACGGCUCACCAAGACGAUGAUACGUAGCCGACCUGAGAGGGUGAUCGGCCACAUUGGGACUGAGACACGGCCCAAACUCCUACGGGAGGCAGCAGUAGGGAAUCUUCCGCAAUGGACGAAAGUCUGACGGAGCAACGCCGCGUGAGUGAAGAAAAGGUUUUCGGAUCGUAAAACUCUGUUGUCAGAGAAGAACAAGUUGGAGAGUAACUGCUCCAGCCUUGACGGUAUCUGACCAGAAAGCCACGGCUAACUACGUGCCAGCAGCGGC
rnacentral:rRNA from 1 species